GAUCCUGGCUCAGGAUGAACGCUGGCGGCGUGCUUAACACAUGCAAGUCGAACGGGAAACCUUUUAUUGAAGCUUCGGCAGAUUUAGCUGGUUUCUAGUGGCGGACGGGUGAGUAACGCGUGGGUAACCUGCCUUAUACAGGGGGGAUAACAACCAGAAAUGGUUGCUAAUACCGCAUAAGCGCACAGGACCGCAUGGUCCGGUGUGAAAAACUCCGGUGGUAUAAGAUGGACCCGCGUUGGAUUAGCUAGUUGG
rnacentral:rRNA from 1 species